CACUAUGCUUCUAACCCACUUCUUUUUACAGGGCUGAUCAUUUGAUCCUUCAGGAGAUACAGGAAUCAACAAAGGGAAAUGCACAAUUUCCUUUGAGUUGGAGCAUUUUCCCUGGCUGUACCCACCACCUUCAAUGUUAUCACCUUUCAUCUCCCUUUCUUGGCUUUCUUGGCAUCUUUAACACCACAGAUAAAAUUCCAUCUUCUACAUUUCUGCAAAACAGCCGCCCCUCAACCAGCUCAACCAGAGCUCAGCUGCUGUCCCCUGGGCCUAGCCCCAGCAGCCCGGC